rnacentral:rRNA from 1 species
CCCUUAGAUGUUCUGGGCCGCACGCGCGCUACACUGACGCAUUCAUCGAGUUCACCUUCCUGCAUCGAGAGGUGUGGGGAAUCUGUUGAACCUGCGUCGUGAUGGGGAUAGAUUAUUGCAAUUAUUAAUCUUCAACGAGGAAUGCCUAGUAAGCGUGAGUCAUCAGCUCGCGUUGAUUACGUCCCUGCCCUUUGUACACACCGCCCGUCGCUCCUACCGAUUGGAUGGUCCGGUGAGGUUUUCGGAUUGGCGCAUUGGUUGGUUUCCGACUGGUGCGCCGAGAAGUCACCCAAACCUUAUCAUCUAGAGGAAGGAGAAGUCGUAACA